CUCUACUGAGUGCGCGAGUUGGAGGCUGAAGUUGAAGCUGAACAGAGACGUGGUGCAGAUGCUGUGAAAGGAGUGCGCAAAUAUGAAAGGAGAGUGAAGGAGCUCACCUACCAGACUGAGGAAGACAAGAAGAAUGUGACCCGACUGCAGGAUCUGGUAGACAAGCUGCAGCUGAAAGUGAAGG